rnacentral:tRNA from 1 species
UAGCUCAGUGGCACAGCACCUGCCUGGCAAGCACAAGGUCUGAGUUCGAUCCUCAG